GCUUAACAGUUACAACCAAGAAU
rnacentral:snRNA from 1 species